CCACCCUCUCCAGACCUGGGAAACCAGGGGAUGAGCCCACCAUGUGGAAUUCAGAUGGGCCUUCUGGCUACCCCAGGGGCCUCCAGCUCAGCUUCCUGGGUGUGUCAGAGAGGCGUGCCAGGAGCCAGAGCUGAGGAAUGAGGCUGGGCUUACUGCCACCCAGGAGGAGUCCCUCUGGAGAGCCUCAGAAAGUACCUGCAAUGGCAAUACAACAGAAGAGCCUCUAAAUAUCUCCUUUUGGGGAUACGGCAGGAAAGCCAAAGGAAAUGUGAAGAGAUGUCUGAACGCCCAGAGGAAACCAGUGGGCCCUUCCAGGAGUUCUAUUUGCGGUAAGAAACCUUGGCAUGGGGCAGCCAGCUCUCCUGCAAAAAUAGACCAAUGUGCUGAGAAGCAGCUCAAUUCUGGGAGCAAUUCCCCUCCAUGGGGAAGAGAGCUUGCACUGGGACUUAGAAGGAUCUGCCCCCUCUCUUCUUCUUGCCCCUGGACUCCAGAACCAAAAACGGGGAGAAAAAAAGGUAAACAUUUUUUUAAAAAAGAACUCUUGGCCAGGUGGAGUGGCUCACACCUGUAGUCCCAACACUUUGGGAGGCUGAGGCAGGAGGAUCACUUGAGGCUAGGAGUUUGGGACCAGCCUGGACAACAUGGCAAGACCCUGUCUAUCAAAAAAAUACAAAAAUUAUCUGGGUGUGGUGGCACAUGCCUGUAGUCUCAGCUACUUGGGAGACUAAGGCAGGAAGAUUGCUUGAGCCUGGGAGGUCGAGGCUGCAGUGAGCUAUGAUCAAGACAGUGUACUCCAGCCUGAGUGACAGAGUGAGAACCCCAUCUCUUAAGAAAACAAAAAACCAGAACUUAUGAAUGUAUCCAUGACUUAAAUCAAAAAUGGGCCAGUGGAAACACAGGGCAAAGGAAGGUUUCAAAUAAGCACCUGGACACAAACGGACCCAGGAGGUGACACACAGUAUUGAGGACCCACUCCCCAUCACUAGGUCCUUUGGCCUCAAAUGAGUGAGAUGACUAAGAAAAUAGGGCACCAUGUGCGGCAGAAGUGAGGGUGGCUAGACAGAAAAUGACGGCCUUGACUGUGAUGGUCAUCACAGACAGGACCCCUAAGAAAGGUGGCCAAGGGGGUCUGGGGACCCAUCUUUAGAAUACCGGGCUGACAGCAUAACAGGGGUUUGGGACACCACCAUGAAAGAAGACAAUGAAGCCAGGUGCAGUGGCUCACGCCUAUAAUCCCAGCACUUUGGGAAGCCAAGGCAGGAAGAUUGCUUGAGCCCAGGAGUUUGAGACCAGCCCGAGCAACGUAGCAAGACCCCCAUCUCUACUAAAAAUUUAAAAAUUAGCGAAGCAUGGCUGGGCACGGUGGCUCACGCCUGUAAUCCCAAUACUUUGGGAAGCCAAGGCGGGUGGAUUACGAGGUCAGGAAUUCAAGACCAGCCUGACCAACAGGGUGAAACCCUGUCUCUACUAAAAAUACAAAAAUUAGCCGGGUGUGGUGGCAGGCUCCUGUAACCCCAGCUACUCAGUAGGCUGAGGCAGGAAAAUCGCUUGAACUCAGGAGGUUCAGUAAGCCAAGAUCAUGCCAUUGCACUCCAGCCUGGGUGACGGAGUGAGACUCCAUCUCAAAAAAAAAAAAAUUAGCCAAGCACAGUGGCAUGUGUCUGUAGUACCAGCUACUUGGGAGGCUGAGUGAAGAGGGAGGAUUGCUUGAGGCCAGGAGUUGGAGACCAGACUGGGCAACAUAGCGAGACCUCAGCUUGGAAGUAAGGAAGGAAAGAAGGGAGGGAAGGAGGGAUGAAGGUAGAAAGAAACGGGACAAGAUGGACUCCUGAGGCCAUCCUAAUUCUGGAACACAAUACAAUGGCCUCUGUAUGUUAGGAGGGCUCAUUUGGCUUCUCUCUAAGCCAGCAGUCCACAUCUUUUUGGCACCAAGGACCAGUUUUGUAGAAGACAAUUUUCCACGGAUGGGGGCGGGGGGUGGGGGUGGGAGGGGAUGGUUUCGGGAUGAAACUGUUCCACCUCAGAUCAUCAGACGUUAGAUUCUCGUAAGAGGUGCCCAACCUACAUCCCUUGCACGUGCAGUCCACAAUAGGGUUUGUGCUUCUAUGGGAAUAUAAUGCCACACUGAUCUGACAGGAGUCAGGGCUCAGGUAGUAAUGCUCACUCACCUGCCGCACACCUCCUGCUGUGCGGCCGGUUCCCAAUAGGCCAUGGAAUGCUUAUUGGUCCACAGCCCUGGAGUUGGGCACCCCUCUUCUAAGGCAGAAGCUUCUACUGUCUUAGGAGCAGCGUCCUGGCCUCCACAGCAGGGAGAGAGCAGGAAUACCCAGCCACAGAUACUGGUCAAGAUAUUGAUCAACUUCCUACCAUCAUGGUGGAGGCAAGCCUGGAGGCCUCUGGGUGGUCAUCAGGUCACCCCAGCACAUUUUCCUGCCCCGGACUCCUGGCCACGCUGAGGUUGCUGUGAGCAGACACGAUGUGCAGGGUCAUGGAUGUGCAGCUCAAACUCCUUGACAAGCGGGAGAUUUAUUUUAUGGCCCAAGCAGUUUGGAGACAAAAUCGUAAGGUGCUCACCCAUCCAGUGUCUCUUCAGCCGGCACUGGGAGGUGUCAAACUGACCACAUUCGACUGCCCCUUCCGCCCGCAGAAUAUGGGUCUGCGUUUCUCUUUCCCUCUUGGUGGCCAAGAACUGUCAACAUCCAGCUGUGGCUCUGCACUCAGCCGCCGCUCAGCCUGCUCAGGUUGAAAGGUCAAACGUUGUCUGGAAUUGGCAGCCCAGCUUACUAGCAGCUCUUCUGUCUUCAGAGUGCAGUGAGGGGAGCUGUCAGAGGGCUGAGGCAAGGACCAGAGAGGGAACUCCUGCGACAGAGAAAGCUCAGCCCUGGUUAUGUUCUGGAGGGAGCAUAGCAGGGUCUGUCCCAGGAACUUUAUUAGUUAGCGGUUAAGAUCCUCAUCCACAGAAAAGCCGGUAGGAAUUAGCCAGGUGGUGUGUGCCUAUGGUCCCAGCUACCCAGGAGGGUGAGGAGGGAGGACUGCUUGAGCCCAGGAGGUUGAGGCUGCGGCUAGCUAUGAUUGUGUCACUGCGCUCCAGCCUGGGUGACAAAGCAAGAUCCUGACUCAAAAAAAAAAAAAAAAAAAAAAGGAAGAAAGAAGAAAGAGAGAGAAGAAAGAAAGGAGAGAAAGAGAAGGAAGGAAGGAGAAAGGAAAGAAGGAAGGAAGAAAAGGAAGAAAGAAUGACAAAGAAAAGAAAGAAAGACGAAAAGGAAAGGAAAAGAAAAGAAAAAAGAAACAAAAGCAGGAAAGUGAGGGGAGAGGGCCAGGAAGACAGAAGACAGGAUGGGCAAGAAGGGUGGGAAGGAUUCCCACACCAGAUUCAGGAGUGGCUCUGCAUUGGGAAAUCCAUCUACGACUGCUGGGGACUUGGUUUUGCAAACAUGCACAGAGAAACCUUCAUCCACCUCUGUGCAAUGUUGGACUGAAGUAGAAAUGAGCCGCUGUUUUCUGGAAGCACCCCAUUUCUUUGAGCUGAUCUUCUCUAAUAAUGAAUUCUGGUGAAGCCUGCCAUUCACAGCACCCUGCCCUCCCAUCUGUAGGAGGUGGGAACAGGACCCAGGCCAGUUGAUCAGAGAGCUCCCUUGCCCUGGGAUGAGCAUGUGACCCAGAUGUCUCAAUCAUGGGGAAGAUCCUCUUGCCUGUUAUAGCCACUAUGCUGGAAGAACAGGAUGUGGGCUUGCUGGCCGCCAUCUUCCAGUCCACGCUGGGAACCCAUCUGCAGGAGGAGGGAAGGAGGACAACCCAGUUUGAGGGAGCAUAUGGACAGCAGCUAUAGAAGGCUCCAUAUGUGCCCAGUGCUAGAUCCACCCCAUCCCUUCCUGUUCCAUAAAUCCAUACAUCUUCUCUCACUUUUGCUUACCCUAGUUUGAGUUACAUUUCUGACACCUGCCACCAUAAAAGCCCAAAUGAUUACAGAGAAUAUUUGGCUACAGGAAAGACCCUGCAGUCUGUGAAAAAAGAGGCUGCUGGUGCAUAGUCAUCGUAGACCAGUGCAAAGAGUGAAACAGAAACAUCCAGCUUAAUCUGCAAAAGCCUUUUUGGAUCCUUGAGAGGCGCUCAUUAACUUACAGCAAAUUGGUGAGCUGAUACUCUUCUUUCAUCCAGCAUGAAGUUGCAGAAGCUGACCUGGGUCCUAACUGUAAAAUGCAGAGGAACUCUAUCCAUGAGGAAGCUUUGUGAAGUCGAUUCAUUGCUAAUGUCCCUGUAGUGUCCACCACAGGAAACAUUACUAUUUGGGUUUUGUGACCCAGGAAUCCAUAUUUACCUGGCGGCAACGACACAGCCCUCACCUUUCCAGACCUCAUCUGGUGGCCUUGUAAUCCUGGAGCUGAAGCUGCCUACACACAAGCAAUCGGUCGCAGUGUAUCCGUGCAGGGUCCCAACCCACUCCAGGAUUCAUUUCGGGAUGGCUUCCCCUCCCUCAGCCAGGAAUCCUGCUUUGUGUAGUUCAGUGCCUGCUGCCAAGUCAGAGCUGUGACCUCAAUGAAAGUGGCCCAGCCACAGCAAACCUCAGUUUCCAUAACAGUCCUGGGAUCCAAUGUGGCUUUCACACUACAUGUCACUUCACUCUGUUAUCUCUGACAGAAAACCAACUCAAACUGGCUUAAGCAAAAAGGGUACUCACUGGGCCAUGUAACCAAAAAGUGUAGGCAUACAUGUGGCUUCAGGAAUGGCUGGAUCCAGGCACUCACAUGUGGCAUCGGGAGUCCCUCUCCUGGCUGUUGGUUUCAGUUUUCUCUGCAGGGGUUUCAUUCAAGCACUGGUUCCCUCCUCAUAGUGGCAAGGUGGCUGCCCAGGACAAGAGGCUUAUAGCCACGGGCUCAGCUACUUAAGGAUAAGUUCCAUCAGAAGCCCAAGUUGAGGCCGGGCUUGGUGCUCACACCUGUAAUCCCAGCACUUUGGGUGGCCGAGGUGGGUGGAUCACUUGAGGUCAGGAGUUCGAGACCAGCCUGGCCAACACAGUGAAACCCUGUCUCUACUUAAAAAAAAACAAAACAAAACAAAAAAAAAAACCAUGAAAAUUAGCUGGGUGUGGUGGCACGUGCCUGUAAUCCCAGCUACUUGCAAGGCUGAGGCAGGAGAAUCACUUGAACCUGGCAGGCGGAAGUUGCAGUGAGACGAGAUCACGUCAUUGUACUCCAGUCUGGGCAACAGAACGAGACUUCGUUGGCAAUGACUGGGUCAUCUGUCCAGUCCUGAACCGGUCACUGUGUCAGGUAGAAGCAUUGUUUGAUUGGCCAGGCCUGGGACACACGGCCAUCUCCAGACCUAGGAAUGGCAUCAUCUCUACCCAAACCCCGUGAACCAAGAGUUGGGGAGGAGCAAAGCUUCAGAGAAAACUCUGGGCCCUGUCAUCAAGCAGAGGAGGAAAGGAGGCCACACAGACUGAGACAUCAAGUACCCACUGUGCCCUCACCACCAGCUCCCGCCCUGGCCAGUGCACUCCUGGACCAUCUCUCCUCCCCGUCUUGUUCACAGUCACCCUCUCACCCCAGCAGAGAUCAGGCCAGGGUACUGGUGGCAAGUGAGUGAAGGGUUUCAGCAAGGGGGUCCCCACCUUCCAGGCACAGUGUAAGUGGACCCCCCACACUUGGGGGCUCUCCUGGGUUGCACAGUGUCCUCUGAAAAUUCACAUCCACCUGGAACCUGCAAAUAUGACCUUAUUUGGAAAUGGAGUCUUUGCAGAUGUUGUCAAGAUAAGAUGAAGUCAUACUGUUUUAGGAUGGGCCCUCUAUAUGGCACGACUGGGGUUCUUAUACGAAGAGGGACCCUGGCACACAGAUGCAUACAGGGAGAGUGCUGUGUGAUGAGAAAGGCAGAGAUUGCAGUGAUGCUGCCACCAGCCAAGGAGUCACCAUCAGCCAGGAGAUGGGCAUGGAUCUGAUUCUCCCUGGGAACCUCCAGAAGGAGCCAACCCUGCCAACACCUUGGUUUUGGACUUCUGUUCCCCGCAACUGUGAGACAAUACAUUCUGUGGUUUUAAGCUUUAUGAUAAUUUGUUACUGUAGCCCUGGGAAAGGAAUACAAGGGUAGACAGACACUGAUCAAGUAAGCAAACAAAUGUGAAAUUGCCCUGUGACAAGGGAGGUGCGGGGUGCCUGUGUUGGGGAAGAAUUCUCUGAGACUUGAAGUCAGAGAAGGAGUUAGCUAAUGGGGCCGACAGGGUUCUGCACACGCAGCUCACGGCCCAGAUCUUGUUGGCCAAGUGUUUUUGCAGGGAUUAGGAACUAAGAAUGGUUUUGCAAGAAGAACAUCACAGGCUGAGGGGACAGCAUGGGCAAAGGCCAUGAAGUGGGAGGCGCCCUCUGUGAAACCAACAAGCUUUCAGCCACGUGGGUCUCUCUGACGCGUUGCCUCAGCCACAGAGGGCUUUAAAAAGCCCCGAAACUGGACAGGUGUCACUGCCUGUGGCAGUAGCGGCCAUUUGGCGCCUGUGGUUUCAACUCCACCCGUUUCACAUGUCUAUGUUACCAGACUGGCCCCUGAAGGGGAUCUGUGUGCCAGGCCCUGACCUGCCGGGCUUUGGAAACAUCCUCGACAGUGUCCCCUGACCUGCGCCCCGCCUUGUGGAGUGAGGCCUGGUUGCCCAAGCUGGCUGGGCCGGGCUGUUUGUUGCUUCCAACAAACAUAGGAGAGAACGUAUGGCUGCUUUUUAUUGCCAGUGAGAGUUCCGCGAGGCCUGGCCCGAGAUGUGGCUGGCGUGAGGGGUCCCGGACCUGCUGUGCUGGGGACGCACCCAGUUCUGUGUCGCUUGGUCCAGUGAGGACUCGAGCCCCUUGGAGGCGGGGCCUCGGGCUGCAGGGGCGGGGCCCCGAGCCGCCUGGGGGUGGGGCCUCAGGCUCUUUGGGGGCGGGGCCUCAAGCUGUCUGGGGACGGAGCCUCCGGCCGGCUGGGGGCGGGGCCUCAUGCCUAAGGGGCGGGGCCUCGAGCUUUCUGGGGGUGGGGUCUCAAGCUUCAGGGUCGGGGCCUGGAGCCGCCUGGGGACGGGGCGAUCUGUUGGGGAGGAGGUUCUCGAACUGCUGAGGAGGAUCGCAGUGCUUUUGCUUCCUCUAGGAGACCAGCUGCACAGGCUGGAACAUGCCAUCUCUAUGCCUGUUUUCCCGUCGAUAAAUCCAGAGACAUUACUCUCAUCAUUUCUUCCUCUGUACACAAUAUUCAUAUAUGUAACCCCUUGGUAAAGCAGUUGUAAGAAUUAAACAAGAGGAAUUGCUCUUUCAUUCAGCAAAUAUUUUUUGAGCAGCUACUAGAUGCCAGGCACUGUUUUAGACGCAAGUGAUACUUCAGGAAACAUAAUCAGAC
rnacentral:lncRNA from 1 species